GUGGGCGGACGGGUUGUUGUUGUUGUUCGUCACGGUGUCCAACAACAAGAAUGGAGGGUUGGUGAGGGUGGAGAGGGAGGGGAAAGAGAGAAGCUCUCAAACAAACAACCGAACAAAACUGCUGCCGCCGCCUGGGCGAACCGACCGACGACGCCAUGACCGACAGGCAAAAGGCAAACCAGCAGCAGCAGCCAUCACGUGAGAAAGAUGAAUCGAUAGAGUAAGUAAAAACGAGUGUGUACGUGCGUGUGUUGCAGUGGGACGAUGUCGCAUCAAGGGAACCAUUUUUAUUUUUUGGCGUCUGCACAGGUGGCGCCGCCGCUUAGACAAAAAAAUAUUCAAGACGCUUGUCAGUUGAUUUUUCUACGUCUUUUUCUUAAUGUGGGUGGUAUCCUUUUUGUCGAUUUUUUUUUUCGCUUUCUACCUCCAUGUAAUAUAUAACAAGCAAGACCUUGAAGAGCAAAAAGAAAAAAAGAUGCUGUUGGAUGAAUUCGAAUAUCCUUUUCGGAAUGACAAGACCAAGCCUCGGGCCUUCAGUUUUUUAUCUUUUUGUCUCGUUGUGUUCUGCAGUAGGUUUGGGUACACAGAAAGUUAACAGUAGUAGGUAAUAGUAGUAGCCUCCGAAAAGUCUGUGUACAACAACAGCCUCUACUGGAAACACAUUGUGUGUGUGUGUGUGUAUAUUUAAUUCUUUUUUUGGGUUUUGAAAUAAGAACGUACGUUUCCGACACCAUCAUCGCCGUCUUUGGAAUGUUGCCCGUCUCAGCACACACACACACACAAACAUUGGCCCUCCCCAAAUCAUCUCUGAUGGCGUCUGAAAAAAAGAAGAAAAAAAUACACAUUCCAUGACGUCAUAGAUCUUCUGCACCGUCAAGAAACAUUAGAUUUUCUAGUUGGUGAGGGGGAGAAUCUUUUUUUCCCCCCCUAAAAACAUUUUCUCCCCUCCAUUUUUUCUGUUGUUGGAUGACCCUUGAACUCGCCAUCUUGUUCCCCCUUCGAGAGGCAUCGAAUUACCUUUUAUUCUGUGUAUAGUCGAGGGGGUUCAUUCACACAUUCCAGGAUAUACUUCUCUUUUUUUUUUAAAGAGGGAGAGAAAGGAUCAACGGCCAUUUUUGACCCCAGGUAUAUACAAAAAAACUUUCUUCCCCCCCUCGUGUUCCAGAACACAAGAGAAGAUCAAUAUGGAAGAAGGGAGGGUUGGCAUGAUAAAAAGUCGUGGGGGUGGAAACCGGAGGUCAAGCUCAAAAGAAAGAAGAAAAAAAACGCACAUUUUUUUUCUUUUCUUUUCUAGGUAUCGAUGCAAUUAGAUACGAAUACAAAAGAUCGGCCGAUUGUUUUUCUCGCGAUGGCCCACAGGAACCGUUGCAAAUCGAGUGGCGCUAGCUACAUACCCUGGACACGUUUGGGGAUAUACCUGGUAUUUUAUCUCCUUGUUCAUGGUUUAGUUUUAUUUCUUGCUUUCUUUUUAUUUUAUUUCUUAAAUACGAGAAGAGGGGAAAAAAACUAGAUUGUUGUCUAUACAUGUGUGAAGGGGAACGGAGGCGACGAAUAGAUCGUAGAGAAAUAAGAGAGAGAGGGGGGGGGGGGACACAAAACGAAGAGACGGAAGAGGGGGGAUUUCGAAGAGGGUGGAUUUUUUUUUAGAAUCCUCCACCACACAACCAAAUGCUCUUUUAUAUUACAAUGUGAACUGUUCCUCCUUUUUAUCUGAUCAUCCGUAAAAACACCACCAUUUUGUUUUUUACUUAAAAAAAAAAUAUGGCGCCCUUUCGAUCGAUUUUUAUUGCUUUAAAUGUUUUAAUUAACAUUGAAGUCGAUUUGGCGAAAAUGAACUUUGUCCGCUUCGAAAUGAUUGAUAAAGUUCAUUAUUUCAAACUUGAUUUUUGUUCAACUGAAAAAUGGAAAAAAACCUGUAAAAUAAUAGUUAAGGUAAGAAAAAAAAAGUAGUAGAAGAGUAAUUGUUUCUGUCUAUUUUUCCAGUUCAAUUACAGCACGAGGAGGAGAAGGAUGAGAAUAUUUUUAGGGGAACGGGGGGGGACAGACACAAAUCCACUCGAGCGUUGACAAACACUUUGGUACUCCCCCCCCCCCUCCUGUUCCGACACAUGCGCGCGUAUCUAAGCCCCGAAUAUAAUGAAACCGGGCCCUUCCCCUCCCUCCCCCUCUAACGGACGGGAGUGUGUAAGACUAGAGGGGGGGGGGAACAACCGCAACUCGACCCCUCCUUCCUUCCGUAUAUCCCCAUAUCCAUUCGCACCCCAUACAUACACAUAGUACACAGUGCCAUACUACUGUUAUACUUCGUUACAGCUUAUGUAGUGCUGUCCUUCCCCUCUCCAUGGUAGUAUUCUAUUGUGCACACCCAACCCCUUUUCCGAGGGUUGAUUUGAUUAUCUGGUUCACUCUCUCUCUCCCCACUGUUCUGCUCCCGUCGAAUAAGAUACAUGUGGAUAGACUUGCUUUUUCAACCGACAUUUUCUUCCUUCAUCGGGAUGAAACAGAUAACGAAAGGAAAAAGCAUUGGGGAGUUCCCUCGCUAAUUGGUUUGAAGAGAUACUGAUAAGCAAACGCCAUCUAACGGAAACAAAUGAUACCACCAGCUUUUACGCAACAUUUGGUUUUCUUUUAUUUGUCGUUUCUUUUUUUCUUUUACUGCCAUCACGUGAACCAAAAUAAUAUAAUUAUAAUAAAAUUGAA